rnacentral:rRNA from 1 species
AUGAACGCUGGCGGCGUGCCUAAUACAUGCAAGUCGAGCGAACAGACGAGGAGCUUGCUCCUCUGACGUUAGCGGCGGACGGGUGAGUAACACGUGGAUAACCUACCUAUAAGACUGGGAUAACUUCGGGAAACCGGAGCUAAUACCGGAUAAUAUAUUUAAUCGCUUGGUUCAAUAGUGAAAGUCGGUUUUGCUGUCACUUACAGAUGGAUCCGCGCCGCAUUAGCUAGUUGGUAAGGUAACGGCUUACUAAGGCAACGAUGCGUAGCCGACGUGAGAGGGUGAUCGGCCACACUGGAACUGAGACACGGUCCAGACUCCUACGGGAGGCAGCAGUAGGGAAUCUGCCGCAAUAGGCGAAAGCCUGACGGAGCAACGCCGCGUGAGUGAUAAAGGUCUUCGGAUCGUAAAACUCUGUUAUUAGGGAAGAACAAAUGUGUAAGUAACUAUGCACGUCUUGACGGUACCUAAUCAGAAAGCCACGGCUAACUACGUG